rnacentral:lncRNA from 1 species
GUGACGUCAUCAGAAAGGGCCGCUGGCAUCAAACUUCCGUAUUCUUUCUUCAAACUUCAUUCCUCAAAUUUUUGCAACUGUCCUGUUGAGCGGAGGAGUCAGGAAUCCUGGAGUUCAAAGCCAAUUCAAGGAAAUGUUGUCAUUCAGGGAUGUGGCCAUUGAUUUCUCUGCAGAGGAGUACGAAUGCCUGGACCCUGCUCAGUGGAAAUUGUACAGGGAUGUGAUGCUAGAGAAUUACAGCAACCUUGUGUUCCUGGGACUUGCUUCCGCUAAGCCAUAUCUCGUGACGUUUCUGGAGCAAACACAAGAGCCUUCAGAUGUGAAAGGAGGAACGGCUACCAUUAAGCAUCCAG